rnacentral:siRNA from 1 species
GAUAAAGUGACUGUUGAUUUAGUA